UUGCAGGGGAACUCAAGGACCCGAGAAGUAAAGCACCUUAUCCCGGGGUAUAGGCAGGUGCAGGGGCAUCCUCCACACGCCUGGCCACCCCAGGGCUGCCUGGCAUCUUCACUUCCCCUUGGCGCUCACCACACCAUUAUCUCCUGUCUUUUCUUCCCCACCCACCACUCCGGGAGCGGUGCAGAGAAAACUGGGACUUAUCAAGACAAAGAACAAAAGUCGUGGAGGAAAGAAGCCAAGAGCCAUCUCUACUCUGGGGUAGGGCCCUUCAGUUUUGCCCCUUUGAAAUUUCAAAUUCCAGUUUGUGGACAAAGUCCUAACUAUCUCACAAUAUAGGUCCCCAACCACUGACCAAACUCCAGUCCAGGCAGCCACCAGCUGGCCUGGUCUUGCUGCUUCCUUUAGCGGCUUCCAAGGUCCAGGGACAGGGGGUCUGGGCCACCAAGAGGCUCUGCUAGGCUGUCCCUGCAGCCACAGCCACCCCACUGGAUCCCUGCCUCCCAUCUGAGAGGAUAGCCCUCUUCCUGGAGCUGGGAUCUGACACUUGCUGAUACCAACGGCAGAUACCAGGUCAAGGAUUCGGUGACUUGAAGACAGGCCUCCUCUGUUCCUUUGAGUCAAUUUCUAGUACCUGGGCCUAAAUCUUGACUGCACACCGGUCAUACUAUUGAGAUGUUUCCAUAGCAGCUGAGAGCGAGCUUUGAGGAUGGAAGCGUUAUCGUCUCCCAUCACAGGUGAGGAAACUGAGGCUCAGAGAAGAAACAUCAUUUUCCCAGUGAGCCAAGGCAAUGGUGUUAGAACUAUCUCUACCUGGCUCCAGAGCUGGUGUUUAUGCCCCUGCACCGAUACGGCCUUCCAUGAAGCCCGGCCCAGAAAGCUUUGGAGUCUGGUUACAUCUCUCCCACGCAGGCCUGGCCUUCUCAGGACAAGAGGCCCAGACGCACUAUGUCUCUCCAAAUCCAGAGGAGGCCUGCUCGAUUCGAUCACCAAUCACAGCUCGUUGGAUUUAGUUACCUAGAAGAACAUCUCCCCAUCACACACCAGCACAUGGCCACGGCAGCAAUCAGAACGUAACGAGAUGUGAGCAGAAACAACCUGUGUCACACCUGGGCAGAAGCUUUAAAGGCCAGUGCUGCCCUUGUUGGGGAAGCAAGUAUAGAUAUGAAUCGUUCCACAACGCGGAGCGCCCCCUGCCGACCCAUGCUGGGCGUGUACUAUAGAUGAGGAGACUGAGGAUCAGAGAGAUAAAGUCACCUGUCCAAGUUCAUACUGUGGAUGUAGCUCUAACCCAAGCCCUCCUGACUGCAGCACAAAUUCUCAGCCACUACCCUAUUAGCCCCUUCAUUUGAAGCUGUCUUCAUCAUUGCCAAGAUUCCUUUUCCUCCCGGCCCCCUAAGUCUUCAGGAUUCCCUCAUCUCAUCUCCCCAGAGAAGCCAUGACACAAUCUUCUCCAAAAACAAAGUCAGCGCUUUCACUGUAGAUGGACCUGUGUUCUUCCCCAAAACUCAGUCCACCUCAUCUCCAGAAAAACUAUAUGACUUGCCCUGGAGAAGAGGGGGAAAAAAAAACUUCUUCCCACCAACUCCACCUCCCAAAUUACUGGAUUUGGGGUAAAUUUACAGGCUGGAGACAGAAGAAUGGAUGUGUAUUUAGCUUUCAAAUUGACUAUUGUUUUAUGUGAAUGUCUGAUAAAGAAAACACAAUGGCUGCCAGAUGGGGGCUGGGAGUGAGAUUUCUCAUGUGGAGAAUUCUAGAAGACAUGCCUGGAGUUCUGGAGCCUGGAUCCUCUGGACAGACAGGUGGCCAGGCAACCAGGGUGGAGGCACCAAAGAUAACUGUGGGGUGGGGAGAAGACACCAGCGCAAGAGAUUUGACUGGGAUUGGUCUACGCAAGAAUGGAAAAUGGAGGCAGAAUGAGUUAGCAGCAAGCACACGUACGCUGCUAUAGAAUCUGAGGGACCCGGCCAGUGCUGGCCAAUAGAAAUAGAAUGUGAGCCACAGACAUAAUUUAAACUUUUCUUGUAGUCACUUAAAAACAUGGUAAAUCUAUGAAAUAGAAGAUUGCUCGUGCAAAUAAA